CUCAUUUUAUACCACAAGUUAGAAAGUAUUCUCUUUUUUCUUAAACUUCGUACACAGUCAAAUAAUUUCACAUGCGGACGGAGUAUAAACUAACAUGGAAGGAUAAACAUGGCGGUAGACAGGUUAUGUCAAACAGCGAUUGUGUGCGUGUGUAAUUAGUCUUCACAAUGAUAAUGUGUCAAAAUUAGAGGUCCAAUCUGAAUAGUAUAAAUCAUAUCGUUAUAAAAUACAAUACAAUACAAAAGAGCACAAAUAUAAUACACAAAUUGAGAGGACAGAAUCCGGUUUUUUUAAUAAAAAAAUUAUAGACAACCCUCAGUCUCGGGCAACAAUCUCACCAUGGAAGUUAAGCAUCAAUCAUACACGCCACGUUCAAACACGGGGAAAAUUUUAGAGAAGUCUUAUUUUUUUGUCAUGUUACAAAUGAAAUCCUGGCAUGAUAUACCAAAACAGUGCAAAUUAUCAAUAGAGAAUCCAAAACAAGCCAAGUGACAAUACGCUCCCUAUAUUUCUGGAGCAGGUGCAGGAGGAGCCUUCAACAGUGGUUGGAGAGCUUUGACA
rnacentral:lncRNA from 1 species